UCGAACGAACUCUGGUAUUGAUUGGUGCUUGCAUCAUGAUUUACAUUUGAGUGAGUGGCGAACUGGUGAGUAACACGUGGGAAACCUGCCCAGAAGCGGGGGAUAACACCUGGAAACAGAUGCUAAUACCGCAUAACAACUUGGACCGCAUGGUCCGAGUUUGAAAGAUGGCUUCGGCUAUCACUUUUGGAUGGUCCCGCGGCGUAUUAGCUAGAUGGUGGGGUAACGGCUCACCAUGGCAAUGAUACGUAGCCGACCUGAGAGGGUAAUCGGCCACAUUGGGACUGAGACACGGCCCAAACUCCUACGGGAGGCAGCAGUAGGGAAUCUUCCACAAUGGACGAAAGUCUGAUGGAGCAACGCCGCGUGAGUGAAGAAGGGUUUCGGCUCGUAAAACUCUGUUGUUAAAGAAGAACAUAUCUGAGAGUAACUGUUCAGGUAUUGACGGUAUUUAACCAGAAAGCCACGGCUAACUACGUGCCAGCAGCCGCGGUAAUACGUAGGUGGCAAGCGUUGUCCGGAUUUAUUGGGCGUAAAGCGAGCGCAGGCGGUUUUUUAAGUCUGAUGUGAAAGCCUUCGGCUCAACCGAAGAAGUGCAUCGGAAACUGGGAAACUUGAGUGCAGAAGAGGACAGUGGAACUCCAUGUGUAGCGGUGAAAUGCGUAGAUAUAUGGAAGAACACCAGUGGCGAAGGCGGCUGUCUGGUCUGUAACUGACGCUGAGGCUCGAAAGUAUGGGUAGCAAACAGGAUUAGAUACCCUGGUAGUCCAUACCGUAAACGAUGAAUGCUAAGUGUUGGAGGGUUUCCGCCCUUCAGUGCUGCAGCUAACGCAUUAAGCAUUCCGCCUGGGGAGUACGGCCGCAAGGCUGAAACUCAAAGGAAUUGACGGGGGCCCGCACAAGCGGUGGAGCAUGUGGUUUAAUUCGAAGCUACGCGAAGAACCUUACCAGGUCUUGACAUACUAUGCAAAUCUAAGAGAUUAGACGUUCCCUUCGGGGACAUGGAUACAGGUGGUGCAUGGUUGUCGUCAGCUCGUGUCGUGAGAUGUUGGGUUAAGUCCCGCAACGAGCGCAACCCUUAUUAUCAGUUGCCAGCAUUAAGUUGGGCACUCUGGUGAGACUGCCGGUGACAAACCGGAGGAAGGUGGGGAUGACGUCAAAUCAUCAUGCCCCUUAUGACCUGGGCUACACACGUGCUACAAUGGAUGGUACAACGAGUUGCGAACUCGCGAGAGUAAGCUAAUCUCUUAAAGCCAUUCUCAGUUCGGAUUGUAGGCUGCAACUCGCCUACAUGAAGUCGGAAUCGCUAGUAAUCGCGGAUCAGCAUGCCGCGGUGAAUACGUUCCCGGGCCUUGUACACACCGCCCGUCACACCAUGAGAGUUUGUAACACCCAAAGUCGGUGGGGUAA
rnacentral:rRNA from 2 species